CUGGCUCAGAGUGAACGCUGGCGGUAGGCCUAACACAUGCAAGUCGAACGGCAGCACAGGAGAGCUUGCUCUCUGGGUGGCGAGUGGCGGACGGGUGAGGAAUACAUCGGAAUCUACUCUGUCGUGGGGGAUAACGUAGGGAAACUUACGCUAAUACCGCAUACGACCUACGGGUGAAAGCAGGGGACCUUCGGGCCUUGCGCGAUUGAAUGAGCCGAUGUCGGAUUAGCUAGUUGGCGGGGUAAAGGCCCACCAAGGCGACGAUCCGUAGCUGGUCUGAGAGGAUGAUCAGCCACACUGGAACUGAGACACGGUCCAGACUCCUACGGGAGGCAGCAGUGGGGAAUAUUGGACAAUGGGCGCAAGCCUGAUCCAGCCAUACCGCGUGGGUGAAGAAGGCCUUCGGGUUGUAAAGCCCUUUUGUUGGGAAAGAAAUCCAGCUGGCUAAUACCCGGUUGGGAUGACGGUACCCAAAGA
rnacentral:rRNA from 1 species